UUUGCCUGGGAGGCUGUUAGGAACGGGGAAUCUUGGUCUCUACCCCAGACCUACUGACUCAGAAUCUUCAGAUCCCAGGGACAGCUGUGCCAUACUGAAAACCACCACCGGGGGGCAGCAGAAUCCAGACGUCCCGGUGAGGAGAGUGGAAAGGCCAUGGACUGAGGAGCCAGGAAGGACACACAGGGGGCAAGAGGGAUGGAGGGCCUUAACCUCGCCCUCCUCCUUCACCUCGCCCUCCACACACAGAAACAAACACUCCCGCUCCUGCAGAGUCACCUGAGCACUUUUACUGUCUCCUCGUCCAGAUGCAACAUAUGACUGACAAAAUGAAGAGGUCCACGUCUGUGGUGAGAACCUGACUUCCAGAUGCAGUGUGGUCUUGCCUUAUAAGAAUAAAGGAAAAGCAACCAGCCUCGUCAGCAAUGACUCCGUGUGAAUGAGGACAUCCAAACUGAUAGUAAAGUGCGGUCGGCAAUGGAAAGAACCCAACGCGGUACCUGCGCAGUUCAUCCACAGACCCUGGUAAACCCAAGUGGCCGUUAUCACCGAGGAUGCUCGGGUAGUUACUUUCCACUCAUUGGACGCGGUGGCAGCGACGAGAGCGCCAAAGCCCCCGACGCCAAACACCAGAGCCGAGAUCUGUGCCCUGAACAUGUCGCUCAGGCGUCUCCAGGGACACUGUCCAGACAGAUCGCUGCGGUGGUCUAGGUAUGCAGCGGACACAAUCCGCUUGGACCAGUGUUGCAGCAAGUUAAUGCGGGUAGGUGACAGUACUUCAUGCUCAGGUGGCCUGAGGAAGUACCGGAAUUUAGGAUAAAGUCUGAUUUACCGAUGGCAUUUUAAAGGUAAUCUAAGAUGAUCCUUCUAACUUCCUACACGGAUAUUUACUAAAAGUUUGUAGACGGAUUCUAAAGGUUUUGAGUUCGCAUAUUUUUUUC